AUUAUUUAGCAGGUGACUUGUUUGUUCUUUGGAUCUGGUGCAGUUCUUGCCUUUACCACUCGUCUGUAUUUCCGACAUAGGAGGAAAAAUAAGUGGGACUAAUUUCCCGACCAUGUCGGUGUCAUCAAACAAGUGUUGGAUGUCACCUUUCGUCCUUUCACUUUUUUUUUUUUUCUUCAUAUAAACAUGGUGAAUAUGAACAGCGCCGCAGUUUAGCAGAGAGGCGUUCGUCAGAGGUUCUGUUCUAUCCUUUUCAUAAUAUUACACUCUGAAAUUUCACAAAAUAAGUUUAAUUCCUUAUAAUGUUCGCUGUAUCAGUAUGAGAGCAAUAACAAAAUAUCGAGAUGAUGAAAGGAGGCCCAAGCUGUGCUACUGGCGGCCACCAGAGGGCUCUCACGGCUUUCAUGUUCAGCCACAGAAAGAUUCCAGAAACCUCGAGGGACGUCAGUGUGCGUGUUCCUCCGCCACCUGUCCGCCUAACCUGCCGCCUCCCCUCCCUUGGACGCCCCUUGCUAUGCCAAAUCUCCAGCAUCGUAUCCCUUCUGCAGGAAACACAGCACCAUCGCCACUGACCCUAAUGGUCCCUUAGAGGUGCUGCCUGUGCUCCUGUGCUGGCGGUGGUGUGGCCCUGUUGAUAAAAAGGAAUCGGGCCACACGCAGAUACUCGCAGUGGCUUUUAAUUGUUGCAGGUGAAGACCCAGGCCGGGCGGAGCGUGGCGGACGGCAGGAGAAGCAUGCGGUAAUGGUUAUGAGUGGACUUGCUACGCUGUGCACUGUGAGACUUGUGGCGGCUUUUGCGGGGCAGCCUGAGCACAAUUGGCAGCGGUGAAGGCUUGAAUUAUGAACUUUAUCGUAGGUUUAUAGUCGUGACUGCCCUGGUGUGCGUAGGUGGGCGAGAAAGCUAUUUUUAUUUCGUAUUUUCUUUCGUGUAAUGUUUUGUGUGUGGUGUGACAGUAUGUGAAUGAAAAUGAGUGUGCAACUGAAAAAGGGUGUGUAUAUAUUUGUGUAGUGCUCGUUCGUGAUUGAAUGGAAAUAGAAAACUGUGUGUGUGUAAGCGUGCAAAUAGUGUUUAUAUUUGUGUUCCGUGCGCCGAUUUCGUUCGUGAAUUACAAAAAAGUGCAUCGUUGACCAAGCAGUGUGUGCUUGUUUUUCUAGUGGUGUGUUCAUUUCAGACCGAAAAUGCAAGUGAUCUAGAAGUGUUUGUUUCCGUCUAGUGGUGUGUUGUGUUGCGUUCAUCGUGAUAAGCCAGCGGUCUGCUUCCUCCUCCUUCCAUCACGUCGAGGAAGGUAAAGCGUGUGUGCAGUGCAGGGGCUUCCUUUGUCUCGGGUGAAGAAAGUGACUGACUACCCCACGUAUAUUUAGCAGUAAUGUAUAAGGUAAAGUCAAAUACUGUUAGUUUAAUUCUCUCUCUCUCUCUCUCUCUCUCUCUCUCUCUCUCUCUCUCUCUCUCUCUCUCUC